ensembl:lncRNA
GUUUAUUUAUGUUCGUACACGCAUUAAAUGUAGCUUGCAAGACAAUGAGCACAGAUAGCAUGUUAGCAUAUCAAACAUGAACAAUUCCCCCUCUCAUUCGAAUAUAAAAGUACAGUUUCAGCACAUUAAAGUUACCUUAGAACAAACCAGGCUUCAUCUUAUCAGUAUCAUGGAAGUCAUUAUAUGAGGUAAAUGCAAAAUUGCGAAUGAAAACGUUUUUCCUGGUGAGUUGAGCAGCUUCUUGCUACAUGCUUCUUGACUGGAUUGUGACUGAGCAGCCAAAGCAGGAAAACGCAGUUGAGCUUCCCUUUCUUAAAGCUACGGUGACAAUUUCAGAACGUAACCGGCUGUUACUGCAAUUUCAGGUGAAUGCUCAAUCAAACAAGUCUCAAAUAUAAUGAAAAUGUCUUUACAUUUCAGCUGUUUCAAAAACAUUGUUCUGCUAUUAGUAUUUUUAAUGUUGGGCUCAUCGAGACAAUUCUGUUUACACUGCGCUGCUCAGAGGGAGGAAACUGUCGGGCGAGUGUCAUGUGCGAGCUCCGGAGGUAGCAUUCGAGAUAACAGCCUCAAUUCGUCGGGGGAUGGACUCAACAAGGUGUCAAAAACGUUCCACAUGGAUGCUGGCCCAUGUUGAUUCCAAUGCAUCCCACAGUUGUGUCAAGUUGGCUGGAUGUUCUUUGGGUGGUGGACCAUUCUUGAUACACACAGGAAACUGUUGAGUGUGAAAAACGCAGCAAGUGUUGCAGUUCUUGACAUAAACUUGUACUCCUGGCACCUUCAAAGGCACUUAAAUAUCUUGUCUUGCCCAUUCACCCUCUGAAUGGCAUGCAUACACAAUCCAUGUCUCAAUUGUCUCAAGGCUUAGAAAUCCUUCUUUAACCUAUAUCCUUCCCUUCAUCUACACAGAUUGAAGUGCAUUUAACAAGUGACAUCAAUAAGGGAUCGUAGCCUACUGGUAUAUGAGGAGUAAUGCAUUUCAGUGAGAAAUAAUCUACAUUGCCAGAUGCAUACCUCUUUGUACCCCGCUUAGUUUUGGAAACAAGCUGUGUUUGUUUCAGCUGAGCUACCAUGUCAACACAUUUAGACAUUGAUCAGCUUCCAAACUCAUUUGCGUAGACUACCUAAAUAACAUUGAAUAUUUGAAAGUAACUCCUCUUCACAAGCAGUAUGUGAAAGUAAAUUCACAGUGAGGUGGGUUUAUGUAGGCUACAUCUUAUUUGCCCAAAGGACACCAUCAUUUCAAUGUGAAGCUAGGUAUACUAUCAUUCAUCCAUGGUUGAUUGGAUCUUUGGAAGUUUAGAAGUUGUUACUAUUACCAUUACCAUACCGUUCAGGGUGUGCAAGUGCUCCUUCAAAUGUUAAUAAUUGAUAUUUGGUUGUGUUCACAAUUCAAUAUCCAGUUUAUCUUCUAAUUACUUAUUAAUAUGUUGGAUUCACAUCUCCAUGUAAACCAAAAAUUGGAGUAAAAUGAUAGCACUAAAUCAAAUCAAACUUUAAAUGCACUUCAAAUAAAGUUUAAUAUUUUUCAACUUAGAUUUUUGGUUGACAUGGAGACGUGAAUCAAACAUAUGAAUAACUUCUAGAUUACAUUUGAAAUCAACCAAUCAUCCUUCAUAUUCAAAACAAUAUCCAAAACAAUAUCCAUAAUACAUUAAAAGUGUAUUAUUAAUAUCAUCAAUUUGGCAUCCUAUUUAUAGGGCUAAUGGUAACUACUUCUAAACUUCCAAAGAUGCAAUCAACCUUGGAUGAAUGAUAGAAUACCUAGCUUCAAGUUGAAAUGAUGGUGUCCUUUGGGCAAAUCAAAUGUUAACGUAGCCUACGUAAACCCUACCUCACUCCAAAUGUACUUUCACAAUCAGCUUGUGUGAGAAAAGUUAGAGGAGUUAUUUAGUUAUUUGGGCCUAGGUUGUCUACACAAAUUAGUAUGGAAUCAAUGUGUAACUGUCUUGACAUAAUAGCUCAGCUGAAUCGAAAACACAUCUUGUUUCUGAAGCUAAGCAGAGUACAUAGUGUUAGGUAUCUGGCUGGUAGACUUGUUCUCACUGAAUUGCAUUACCCUUUAUAUAACAGUAGGAGUCAAUGUUCAGGCAGGACUUGUUGGACGGUAAGCUUCACAUUUUAUUUCAAUAUACCUCUUUAUUUAUGUCGAUAGCAUGACGUUGAAACAAUGACGUUGAUUCCAACAUACCAUUUUACCAUUCAGUUUAAAUAAAAUGUCUAAUCAAAUAUGAAAUUCAACAAAAUAUGUUUUAUGUUUUCAACGUAAUUUUAACAUUUACAUAGGUCUGAUGAUUAUGUUGAAAUUAGAUUGAUGUAACAACCUGUUAGUCAGGUUAAGUCAAUGUAUUUAAGUUGAAGUUUUACCCUAAUUUCAAUGUUUAAGUAAAGACGCUGGUUGAAAUUAGAUGAAAACAGUACUGGAUGAUGACAUUCUUCAAAUGAAUUUUCAACGUUGAUUCCACGUCACAAUAUGAAUUACAUUGAUUCAACCAGUUUGUGCCCAGUGGGUAGUCUCUCUUCCAUAAAAACAUUAAGAUGUAAGACAAAAGAUUAAGCAAGGCUGAGAUAGUGGUGAAAUAUUGCUUUAAGGCAUUUAUUAGGCCUAGUUAAUGAAGCACAUUCUUCUGUACCGUUCUUUGAUGAUUCAACACCACCAAGCACUACUUUCUAAUAUUAUGGAGAACCUUAACUUUCCCUUCCGAAAUUGAUUUUACAGCCCAAUAAAAGGACUAGGAGCAUUUUAAUCUAAGUCAAGUUACAAUGUAAAUCACAUUUUCAUGGCGCUUAAACUUCCAGAUAUAUAUUAUAUUAUGCUAAGUAAAAUACAUAAGCUUAAUGUUUUAUUCAUCUGGACAGCACUAGAUGAUGUCUGAGAGAUGUGAAUGUACUGUAAUAAGGUCUGGUUGGUUUAACAUCCAUA